rnacentral:rRNA from 1 species
AUACGGAAGGUGCAAGCGUUAAUCGGAAUUACUGGGCGUAAAGCGCACGUAGGCGGUUUGCCAAGUCAGGCGUGAAAUCCCCGGGCUCAACCUGGGAACUGCGUUUGAUACUGGCAGACUAGAGGCCGGGAGAGGGUAGUGGAAUUCCCAGUGUAGAGGUGAAAUUCGUAGAUAUUGGGAAGAACACCGGUGGCGAAGGCGGCUACCUGGACCGGUUCUGACGCUGAGGUGCGAAAGCGUGGGGAGCAAACAGGAUUAGAUACCCCAGUAGUCC